CAAGGCGACGAUCCCUAGCUGGUCUGAGAGGAUGACCAGCCACACUGGAACUGAGACACGGUCCAGACUCCUACGGGAGGCAGCAGUGGGGAAUAUUGCACAAUGGGCGCAAGCCUGAUGCAGCCAUGCCGCGUGUAUGAAGAAGGCCUUCGGGUUGUAAAGUACUUUCAGCGGGGAGGAAGGUGUUGUGGUUAAUAACCGCAGCAAUUGACGUUACCCGCAGAAGAAGCACCGGCUAACUCCGUGCCAGCAGCCGCGGUAAUACGGAGGGUGCAAGCGUUAAUCGGAAUUACUGGGCGUAAAGCGCACGCAGGCGGUCUGUCAAGUCGGAUGUGAAAUCCCCGGGCUCAACCUGGGAACUGCAUUCGAAACUGGCAGGCUUGAGUCUUGUAGAGGGGGGUAGAAUUCCAGGUGUAGCGGUGAAAUGCGUAGAGAUCUGGAGGAAUACCGGUGGCGAAGGCGGCCCCCUGGACAAAGACUGACGCUCAGGUGCGAAAGCGUGGGGAGCAAACAGGAUUAGAUACC
rnacentral:rRNA from 3 species